rnacentral:rRNA from 1 species
GUGAACGCUGGCGGCAGGCCUAACACAUGCAAGUCGAGCGGCAGCGGGUCCUUCGGGAUGCCGGCGAGCGGCGGACGGGUGAGGAAUGCGUCGGAAUCUGCCUUUUUGUGGGGGAUAACGUAGGGAAACUUACGCUAAUACCGCAUACGACCUACGGGUGAAAGUGGGGGACCGCAAGGCCUCACGCAGAAAGAUGAGCCGACGUCGGAUUAGCUAGUUGGCGGGGUAAAGGCCCACCAAGGCGACGAUCCGUAGCUGGUCUGAGAGGAUGAUCAGCCACACUGGAACUGAGACACGGUCCAGACUCCUACGGGAGGCAGCAGUGGGGAAUAUUGGACAAUGGGCGCAAGCCUGAUCCAGCCAUGCCGCGUGUGUGAAGAAGGCCUUCGGGUUGUAAAGCACUUUUGUCCGGAAAGAAAUCCUGUCGGCUAAUACCCGGCGGGGAUGACGGUACCGGAAGAAUAAGCACCGGCUAACUUCGUG